UCACAUAUCUACCAGAAAAAACCAAAUCGUAAUCAUCACAAAUAUCAUUCCACGGUUACAUGAAGGGAAACUAUCACUCACAACCACACCUGGAUCGCGCUUUUACUUCGACACCGACAUUGAUAUCAUACAACGCUUCCAAAAGAGGAAUAAACUGCUAUACUAAGCUUGAAGCCAUAACUCCACAUGGGAUGAACAACAAGACAUCAAACGACACCGGUCAACUGUUUUAAAAUUUAAAUUACUGCUUUCUACGUCAAUUAAAAAUGUCCACUCAUAUACUCUUUUAUCCUAAAAAAAUUGUUUGCUCAACCUAAUAUAUUAUUCAAAUUUACUAUAUGGUUCAUUCUACAAUACACAAAAAAUAACUUCCAAUUUCUAGAACUUAAAAAUACCAAAAAUUAAAAGUUUACUUCAAUUGAACAUGUUAUCCGCGCGUAGCGCGGACCCGGCUCUAGUUCAAUUUAAUCAAUGCUAAAAGAAAGCAAUAUGAUUAAAAGAAGAAGAUUAAAAAAUUAAGAAGCCUCAUUUGAGAUGAAUUGUUAUUUAAUUAUAUUUUAACCGCUUUUCAAAUUAGGAUUCUUUAUUACUAUAAAACUAUGGUAAUAAUUAUUAGCAAAAUCAUAACUUAUAUAAAAAUAGAUU